CAGCCAAUGUCUGCACAGAGCUGUGUGCUGGCAGGAGGAAACUAUCGUGGCAGCAGAGCAGCAGAUAUUAAGUGUAGCUCGCUGGGACUCCGUGGCCAGUGGUCUGUCACUUUUAACGGGGACCAUUUGUCUGUCCUUACCGCGAAAUGGGAAAGACUGGAUUUAUUUUUUUGCACAGUUGCACUGCAUGAAUGUGUCGCGUAAUGCGACCGAGAUGAGCUGCCUUUGGGAGGAAAUAUUCAUGGUUCGGGACUGUUUUGUUGGAGUAGCUUGUUGCUAGCUCUGUGCUAGCCACUGUGCUGGCUAACGUUACUUCGUAACGUAGCUAUUUGUUAAGGAUGCUACGGUGGAUACGACAACAGCUGGGCUUUGACCCCCCUCAUCAGAGUGACACCAGGACGGUUUAUGUAGCAAACCGUUUCCCCGAGCAUGGCCACUACAUACCGCAACGCUUUGCUGACAACAGAAUCAUCUCUUCCAAGUACACAAUUUGGAAUUUUGUCCCCAAGAAUCUGUUUGAGCAGUUCAGAAGGAUAGCCAACUUCUAUUUUCUUGUUAUCUUCCUUGUACAGUUAAUGAUAGACACCCCAACUUCCCCAGUCACCAGCGGCCUGCCUCUCUUCUUUGUGAUCACAGUGACUGCCAUAAAACAGGGCUACGAGGAUUGGCUAAGACACAAAGCGGACAACGAGGUGAAUGGAGCUCCAGUGUUUGUGGUUCGCAGUGGAAGUCUGGUGCAGACAAGAUCCAAGAACAUCAGGGUGGGGGACAUUGUUCGUGUGGCUAAAGAUGAGACGUUCCCAGCUGACCUGGCGUUGCUGUCGUCAGAUCGUGGAGAUGGCACCUGCCACAUUACCACAGCCAGCCUUGAUGGAGAGACCAACCUAAAGACUCACUACUCUGUGGCAGAGACAACAGUGUGUCAGUCGGUGUCCCAACUGGAGUCUCUGCAGGCUGUGGUGGAGUGUCAACAACCGGAAGCCGACCUGUACAGGUUCGUUGGUCGGAUUACAGUGACUCAGCAUGGAGAGGAGAUAGUCAGACCGCUGGGUCCAGAAAAUUUGCUGCUGCGAGGAGCCAGGUUGAAAAAUACCAAAGAGAUUUUUGGUGUGGCUGUUUACACAGGAAUGGAGUCCAAGAUGGCCCUCAACUAUAAGUGCAAGUCCCAGAAACGCUCUGCAGUAGAGAAGUCCAUGAACACCUUCCUAAUCAUCUACCUGGGCAUCUUGCUGUUUGAGGCCAUCCUCAGCACUAUCUUGAAGUAUGCCUGGCAAGCUGAGGACAAAUGGGACGAGCCUUUCUACAACCAAAAGACUGAACAGGAGAGAAACAGCAGUCCGAUCUUGAAGUUCAUCUCAGACUUCUUGGCAUUUCUGGUCCUCUACAACUUCAUCAUCCCCAUCUCGCUCUACGUUACUGUGGAGAUGCAAAAGUUCCUGGGCUCCUUUUUCAUUGGCUGGGAUUUGGACCUUUACCACGAGGAGAGCGACCAGAAAGCUCAGGUCAACACCUCUGACCUCAAUGAGGAGCUGGGGCAGGUGGAGUAUGUGUUUACAGAUAAGACGGGGACGCUAACAGAAAACGAGAUGCACUUCCGUGAGUGUUCAAUUAACGGAACCAAGUACCGCGAAGUCAACGGUAAACUGGUACCAGAAGGAAUGACUGACGACUCACCAGAUGGUUCUACGCCUCACCUGCUCGGUGAGGAAUUGUUAUUUCUCAAGGCAGUGUCAUUGUGUCACACGGUUCAGAUCAGCUACGACCAGCCAGACUGCCCGGUUGGAGGAGGAGACCCAUUUUCCCAUGCAAACGGUUUCUCUUCCAAUCACAUGGAAUACUACGCCUCUUCACCGGACGAGAAAGCUUUAGUAGAGGCCACAAAGAGGAUCGGAGUGGCCUUCACUCGCAGCAGUGGAGAUACCAUGGAGAUCAAAACAUUUGGCAAAUCAGAGAAAUACAAACUCCUCCAUGUGUUAGAGUUUGAUUCUGACCGCAGGAGGAUGAGUGUCAUACUGCAGACUCCCUCAGGAGGCCAAGUGCUAUUCACCAAGGGUGCAGAGUCGGCCAUCUUGCCUUUCACUACCAGUGGAGAGAUAGAAAAGACAAGACUGCAUGUUGACGAAUUUGCCUUGAAAGGUCUGCGAACCUUGGUUGUAGCGUGUCGCCACUUCAGCCCAGAGGAGUACAUUGAUGUGGACAGGCAUCUGAACGCUGCUCGCACUGCGCUGCAGCAGAGGGAGGAGAGGCUGCAGGAGGCCUUCAGCUACAUCGAGAGAGACCUGCAUCUGCUGGGAGCAACGGGGGUUGAGGACAAGCUCCAAGACAAAGUCCAGGAGACUAUUGAGGCUCUGCGGCUGGCAGGGAUCAAAGUAUGGGUGCUGACAGGGGACAAACAUGAGACAGCGGUCAGCGUCAGCCUGUCCUGUGGCCACUUCCACAGGACCAUGAAUAUCCUGGAGCUUCUGCAACAACGUUCUGAUAACGAGUGUGCUGAGCAGCUCCGCAGAUUGGCCAGGAGGAUAAAAGAGGACCAUGUUAUACAGCACGGGUUAGUUGUGGAUGGGGCCAGUCUGUCCCUAGCGUUGAGGGAACAUGAGAAGCUCUUUAUGGAAGUGUGUAAAAACUGCUCAGCUGUGCUGUGCUGCCGCAUGGCCCCGCUGCAGAAAGCUAAGGUGGUGCGUCUUUUUAAAACCUCCCCAGAGAAACCCAUCACACUGGCUAUUGGGGAUGGAGCCAAUGAUGUCAGUAUGAUACAGGAAGCUCACGUGGGCAUAGGUAUCAUGGGAAAGGAGGGUCGUCAGGCCGUGAGAAACAGUGACUAUGCAAUUGCCAGAUUUAAGUUUCUGGCUAAACUUCUGCUGGUCCACGGUCACUUCUACUACAUUCGAAUAGCUACGCUUGUACAGUACUUUUUCUACAAGAAUGUGUGUUUUAUCACGCCGCAGUUUUUAUACCAGUUCUUCUGUCUGUUUUCACAACAAACUCUGUACGACAGUGUUUAUCUGACACUGUACAACAUCUGCUUCACCUCACUGCCCAUCCUGGUGUACAGUCUGUUUGAACAGCUGGUCCAUCCACACGUACUGCAGAAUAAACCUGGCCUGUACAGGGACAUCAGCAAGAACUCCCUGCUGUCUUUCCGGACGUUCCUGUACUGGACUCUGUUGGGCUUCUGUCACGCCUUCAUCUUCUUCUUCGGAUCCUACAUACUGAUGGGAGAGGACACCACACUUAUGGGCAAUGGACAGAUCUUGCGAGCUAACAGGCAGCUGAUGUUUGGGAACUGGACAUUUGGAACGCUGGUCUUUACUGUCAUGGUCAUCACAGUCACAUUAAAGCUUGCUUUAGAGACUCAUUUCUGGACUUGGAUGAACCAUUUUGUGACGUGGGGUUCGAUUGCCUUCUACUUCAUUUUCUCCCUCUUCUAUGGAGGCAUCAUCUGGCCAUUCCUCCACACCCAGGACAUGUACUUUGUAUUUGUACACCUGCUGUCCAGCGGUUCAGCCUGGUUUGCCAUCAUCAUCAUCGUCAUAACUUGCCUUUUUCCUGAUGUGGUUAAAAAGAUCUUCUAUCGACAUCUGCAGCCCACCGGCACACAGAAGAGCCAGAUGGAAGAGGGUGAGGGUUCAGUCGGCCCAGAAUAUGACCCUGUUAAAGCCCAGCGGAGCCCAGGGGAGGACAAUUGGCACCUGCUAGCUGCUUAUCCUCCCCCUGCUGCCCCCAGCCCAGACCCCUGCUCCCCUAGUCUCUAUCAGCCCCCCAGGCGCAGGCCCUCAGCUGUGUGGAGUCCCUGUGCUGCUACCAACAUGGGCAGAGCGGCUGUUCCCGCCUGGCCAGCCUCCUGGAGCAAAUGACCGGGCAGUGCCAGGCCAGCACCAACCAUUGCCACGCAUCCAGCCGCAGCAACAGGUCUUGGAGCGACACGGAGAACUCUUAUUCCAACGAUCGAAGCAUCCUGACGCUUUCACCCAUCGAGGCCACCCACUGCUGACUCCCAGGGCCGCUGACUCUAACACGCAGAGCUGGGGGAGAGCUUCCACUCCGCAUAAUCACCCCAACCCCCUGCUACCAUUUUAGAAACCUACUUCAGUUUAAGCUCAGUGCAUUCUCAGCUGGAUGCAACGCUGACGCAUCAUGUGAAACCAAAGGAUUCGGCUCGGUGCAAGCAGGCUGCUUCAUCCUUCACCAAUUAGUUUUACCCGAGUGAAUGCAUUUCUAGUAGAAAGUUUACGAGAGACAUCAGAUAAGAGCUGCAACAUGAAAGUAAAUAAAACAUGAAGUGUGGAGCAAGUCAGCAUGGCAUGAAGCCAACAUCUGUGGAGCUACUCCUGUAGGAAGAUCCAGUCAGCAUCUGAGCAGCAACAAUUAUCAGAGACCUGCUGCUUACUCAGUCUCUGAGUCCUGCAGAAGUAUCUGAAAAUAUCAUAUUCAAAUUCAGGACCUUUUUUUUUUUUUUUUUCCAGUUGAAGACGUGUCAGCUCAAAGGUGCUGCCCUCUGAGAUCAGCCCUGUUACAUGAACUCUCAUGCAGCUAUUUAUUUUUCAUUUUCAGCACAGUUGCCAAACUUAGUUUUUCUUGCAACUGGCAUUAAAAAUGACUUUGUAAGUCUUACAUGUUUGUAGGCACAGAAUGAGGAUUCCUGACGAUCGGAACUUUCUGCUAGCUAAUGUCAGGCAGCAGCUGCUCAAAGCAUUGCAGCCUGAGGGCUGUAACGUAACCGAGGUGGUUCGGACAUGCCAUUGACCUCAACGCAGGACUGAGGUGGCUUAUAGACACCAGUCAAUAGGAUCGACCAUGUAGCACCAGGACAGAAGCUCCGCAAAGUCACACUUCAUUAGGAGUACAUCUCAGAGGUGUCGCUGUUGCUUCCACAAACUUCCUCUCUGAGCUGUCGGCCCCGCUGCACCUUCUUUUUCAUUCACACAGAAAGGGAAAAAGCUAACUACCUGUAGCUUUCAGAGCCUUGCUGGUUCUGUUAACGUCUAGACUUGUUUCCUUAGGAACUACAGUACUCCGUAAGAUGCUGUACAAAGAGAUUCAUCUCUAACAUGGAACCAAAGACCAAAGGAUUCAGACUGGAGUGUUUAUUUUUGUGCCUGAUUGUACAGAAGCUUAUAUCGUUGUUAAGAAGACUAUUAUUAUUGUUCGUGCUGCUUUCUUCGUCUGACUUUUCAGGCCUGCGUCUCCCCAGGUGCGUUGCUCUGAAGGAGACCGGAUGGGGUUUGUUUAAAAAGCCAUACAUUGUCAAGAGGAUAUAACUUUUGAUAGAUUAUUGAAGGUACUGCAGAUAGAAGCUGUUUGAGCCUGUUGUUGUUACUUUGUGUUUGGAAACGUGUUCCCCUUGAAUGCCUUUUCUCAUUCGGCCCGAUUAGCAAAGGGAUCUCUGCAUUAAAGACCAUGACGCUCAGGGAAUAUUUUGAGGUAACAGGAUCAGUGUCGAAGGCUGACUUAAUGAGGUUAUAUAGGUAGAAUCAUCCCACUCAGUUGCCUAAAAAUAUUACCCGAGUAUUGGAUCAGAUAAUGGUACUAUUUUUAUUUCACAAAAAUGGCUUAAAUGGCGAGAGGCUUUUUACAAAUCACGGCUGAUGCAUGUUGACCCAGACAGCAGAAUGUCUCUAUUUUUAGACGGAUAGAUGUAUCAGAUAAAUAUAAUUCAGCUUCUACAGAGAUGGAAAGAAAAGCAGAGCGUUUGCACAAGUCACAUAUCAAAAUCACAUUUUGUUGUGUCUCAUUUGUCACCAUUGUAAUCAUCUGAAUCAUGUUUUUGCUGUUUCGUUCUAUCCACCUGUUGAUGAAGUGUGUGUGUGUGUGUGUGUGUGUGUGUGUGUGUGUGUGUGUGUGUGUGUGUGUGUGUGUGUGUGUGUGUGUGUGUGUGUGUCAGCCAUGUUGGUACGUGUAAGUACGGUACGUAGCCACGUUGUAAGCUGUUUAUACGAUCACUGUGGCCACAUGCUGCCCGCAGGUCAAAUGUUUCUCUUUGAUGCUUGGUUUGACCCCUCUUCUUCCAAAAAAAAAAAAAAAAGGUGAAAUGAGGAAAAGUUUGAAGAUUUUUAUUUGUAGGAGAAUUCAUUUUGACUCCAGAAGUGUAGAAACGUUUCAAGACAACCGUUUUAAACUUGACAUCAACAACAACCACACCACGAUGACCAGUACAUGCCUCAGCUCACACAGGGAACGUACAGAGUCAUAGGAAGUUUAUGUUGCUGCGCUUACUGUUUAGAAAAACCUGAGAGUCAAUAAUGUUUUUGUCAGUCAAUUUAUUGAAUAUUCUUGAUGUUUAUUUUCUAUAUGGUACACGUUGUUUGAUGCAUAGCUGGGCCUGUUAUAUCCUUUCUGUUUAUACAGGUGCAACUGGCAAUGAAAGUGUCUAUUUAUUACUGCGGUACUUUUUUCUGUUUGAACUUUUCUUACAUAUCAAUAUAACGUGUGUCCUGUACAUGGCCUGAAUGCAGCAACUUCCCACAAUGUUUUACUCGAUCUGAGACAUGUAAUCAGGAGGUUGGACCUCUAUCUAAGCUCUGUUUUGUUGUUUGUUUUUUGACCUGAAAGAUGACAGUGCAGUUUGGAGCUGCCAGCCUGAAAUAAACAGGAUGUUUGUAAUCGUAAAGGACAUUUAAAAUAGCAAAGGACACCUUAAAACUUCCAGUUAGAUCACUCCAUCCUACAACCCAGCAAAUAAUGACACAGGAAAUUACCUUAAUCAUUUGAGUUCAUAUCUGCUAUCAAAAUGUCUACCUGGAUACACCUAUACCUGUAAUUUGGACCUGGAUUUAGGAAAAAUACAUGUUAAAAAUACUGUUUAAAAGGGGGCACUUCACUAGCUUUACUCAGUCACUUUACUUAUCCGAGAGCAGUACUCACCUGUGGAAAUAAUGUCCUCUGUGGCUCUAACCCUAAGCUUUCCGAAGUCUUAGAAGUCAGACAAAUGAGUACUUGAGAGUACUUGAGGCUUCAAAUAAUUGACAGAAAACCGUCAUUAUAAACUAGGUGCAUGGAGUUUGAGAGAUGAGGGCAUGUGGAGUGGCUGUUAGGAUUCUAUUGAGAUGCUUUAUGGGAAUUUUAGGAUCCAGUGUUUCUUUAGAUUGAUUCAUGCCUUACUUAACCUCUGGAAAACCUGGCUCCUGCUACAUUUAUUUGGACGAAUACUUUUGUAUUUAAGUACAAUACUAAGUCCAUGAGUACCCCUUAAAUACCUUGAAAAAAAUGUAAAAUAUGAUGCAGCAGAGGCAUUGAUAUCCUGACUUAAACACUGGAUCCUGCAACAUUUGUAAGGCCCUCCCAGCCGGGUAAAUGCCAACAUAUUUCCAACUCGCUUUCUGUUAAAAAUUUGAAGUGUUAAGCCUGAGCUGGGAUAAUCCUGCUGAUAACAUCAGUGUUUUUUUGUUUUGUUUUUUUACAGUAGAUAGCUUCUCCAGAGCCACAGAAGAAGUCAUCAUACAUUUAUUUCACAGUGCAAUUCCACUGAAGGUCAGUAGAUAACAUUAAAUCCUCACCCAGCCCAAAAGGUUUGACGUGCCAGGGUAAGAAAACUAAACUCCUCUUUGGAAUCAGCAAUAAACUCCAGAGGAGGGGAUAGAGUCCUUCCUGGCCAAAGGCAGAAACACCUGCAGUGUUAGUGCACUUCUAAAGCCCCGUUUUGCUCACCUACGGAAUCCGAAGUGUUCAAAAUUAAGACAUUAUGACAAAGAUAAUCCUAAAUAAAUAGAAACAAUGUUUAGGUGUGUCCUAUUAACAGGGAUAUACAAAUACGCAACAAGUAGUAGUUACAUGAUUAAAAAAAAACAAUGCUUCCACCAAGACUUAAAAAAAUAAAACAAAAACCAAUAGGGUUAUUUCACAAUUUCUUUGUUAUAUAUUUAUAAUUUUGAACUCUGGGUUUCUAUAUUUACAUGUCUUAUGUAAUUGCAUUUUUAUCCAGACUUUUUUUUUUUAUAUGUGAAAUGUAGGCCCCAGAGUGAUAUCUUUUCUGAUGUUUACGCAGAAAAAAAAAGCUAUAUAUUUUUUUAAGAUCAGAUGUGACAUAAGUAACGAUCAAGACCUGAUUUUCCAAAGCAUCCCAACACUGACGUCGUCUAAGCUUCAUUACAAGAGAGCUGCACGGUUUGGAUUUAAGUCUUCUGGGAUAAUUGUAGAAGGAGGAGAUUACUCAGCCACAUAAUUCAAAAAAUUGUCAUUUAAUAUUUUAUCAAGGCUCGAGUACAGAUGAUGAUCACCUCAUCCUUUAGAAGCACCAUCCGAGUUUAAUUGGAUAACUUACUAAGAGCUGUUAAAUUAUGUCUAGAGAUGUGGUUUUAACCCAAGUACUACUGCUUCAGGCAAUAUUGGCCAUUAACUGAAUGUGUAAAGACCAAAUAAAAACUGGAAAUCGGUCACUGUUUUCUGUCAGUAACCACAUCAUCCAGAGACCAGAUCCUGAACAAUUCAAUUGCCAUAUGUAUGGUUAUUGUUACCAUAAAUUACACUUAGGAACAAACACAAUUUUGUAGAAAAGAAAGCAUUUAGAAAUGCUGUCAGUGCAGAGAUGCUCUUGGAAAACCAAGUUUGCAGACCUCAAUCAAAUUAGGGUUUCCUUGAUCUAAUCAGCUAAAAAGAGGAAUCUAAAUUAAAAUGUCAACCGAUCAGUUUUCUGCCGCAGAAUAUCCUUUGACUCAGUAUCAGGCGGUACGAUUUGAGGCUGCAGAUCAAUGCUGAAUGGUUUAUUGAAAGCAUUUUUAUUCUCUCCUUUCCUCAGUAACUCAUGCUGCACCAGACUAUCAAUAAACCACUAUCAUCACUCUUUUGUUGACUGAUAUCUGUUGCUGUACUCUCUGUCCCUCCUCCUCCUGUCUGUAAAUCUGUCUUAUAGCUGAUGUUUAUGAAGAUGCCGUUCUAUUUACGAAAUAAAUACAUUUUUAAGAAA